rnacentral:rRNA from 1 species
GCCCAGCCGUAAACUUUUAUUUACAUCUAAAUCGCCAGGGAACUACGAGCUAAGCUUAAAACCCAAAGGACUUGACGGUACCCCACAUCCUACUAGAGGAGCCUGUUCUGUAAUCGAUAAUCCGCGUUUAACCUCACCAUCUUUAGUUAAUCAGCCUGUAUACCUCCGUCGUCAGCUUACCACGUGAGCGCAAAUCAGUGGGCCUAAUGUUAUUACACCAAUACGUCAGGUCAAGGUGCAGCAAAUAAGAUGGGAAGAGAUGGGCUACACUUUCUAUUUUAGAAAAAACGGAAAACUACCUAUGAAACCUAGUUGGAAGGCGGAUUUAGCAGUAAAAAGGAAUCAACACGUCCAUUUUAACUUGGCACUGGGGUGUGUACACACCGCCCGUCACCCU